rnacentral:rRNA from 1 species
AGGAUGAACGCUGGCGGCGUGCUUAACACAUGCAAGUCGAACGAGGUCCAUGGAGCUUGCUCCGGACGACCUAGUGGCGAACGGGUGCGUAACACGUGAGAAACCUGCCCCGAUCUCUGGGAUAACAGUUGGAAACGACUGCUAAUACCGGAUGCCGUCACACCGCUUCAUGGCGGAGUGCCGAAAGAUUCAUCGGAUCGGGAGGGUCUCGCGGCCUAUCAGCUAGUUGGAGAGGUAACGGCUCACCAAGGCAUCGACGGGUAGCUGGUCUGAGAGGAUGAUCAGCCACACUGGGACUGAGACACGGCCCAGACUCCUACGGGAGGCAGCAGUGGGGAAUCCUGCACAAUGGGCGAAAGCCUGAUGCAGCAACGCCGCGUGCGGGAAGAAGGCCCUAGGGUUGUAAACCGCUUUCAGUAGGGAAGAAAUGACGGUACCUACAGAAGAAGGUGCGGCAACUACGUGCCAGCAGCCGCGGUAAU